rnacentral:rRNA from 1 species
UACGGAGGGGACUAGCGUUGUUCGGAAUUACUGGGCGUAAAGCGCACGUAGGCGGAUUUGUAAGUCAGGGGUGAAAUCCCGAGGCUCAACCUCGGAACUGCCUUUGAUACUGCAAAUCUCGAGUCCGGAAGAGGUGAGUGGAAUUCCUAGUGUAGAGGUGAAAUUCGUAGAUAUCUGGAGGAACACCGGUGGCGAAGGCGGCAUCCUGGACCGGCAUUGACGCUGAGGCGCGAAAGCUAGGGGAGCAAACGGGG